rnacentral:tRNA from 1 species
GAGCGGGAGUAGCUUAAUUGGUAAAGCUUCAAUCUUCCAAAUUGUAUGUUGCAAGUUCGAGUCUUGCCUCCCUCU